AAGUCGUAACAAGGUUUCCGUAGGUGAACCUGCGGAAGGAUCAUUAAUACGCUUUUGUUUGUAACAAAACAAAACGUUUUAAACCCCAAAAUUUGAAUAGUGGAAACAUAUCUUCCGGGUGCGAAUGUUGGAGAACCUGAGUAAAAUCAAGUUCUUUGAAAAAGGGACUUCAAGCAAUUGACACUUCAGAGUGUUCUGAAAAACAUUUGUAUCCGGUUAUCAAAUCUGUUCUACAACAUCAUUAAACAAUAAACCCCAUGUACAACAACUUGAACUAAACAUUUUUUUGUUGUCUGCUUCGCGGCAGAUACGCAAAGAAAAAACCUGAACUUAAGAACAACUCUUAACAACGGAUAUCUUGGUUCUC
rnacentral:misc_RNA from 1 species